CCUACGGGGGGCAGCAGUGAGGAAUAUUGGUCAAUGGCCGGAAGGCUGAACCAGCCAUGCCGCGUGAAGGUCAGUGCCCUAUGGGCGUUAAACUUCUUUUGUGCGGGAGCAAUAAUGGUCACGUGUGGCCAGACGAGAGUACCGUACGAAUAAGCAUCGGCUAACUCCGUGCCAGCAGCCGCGGUAAUACGGGGGAUGCAAGCGUUAUCCGGGUUUAUUGGGUUUAAAGGGCGCGUAGGCUGUGAGGUAAGUCAGCGGGGAAAUGCCCCCGCUCAACGGGGUGAAGUGCCAUUGAUACUGCCUUGCUGGAAUGCGGAUGCCGUGGGAGGAAUGUGUGGUGUAGCGGUGAAAUGCAUAGAUAUCACACAGAACUCCGAUUGCGAAGGCAGCAUACCGGCGCCCAACUGACGCUGAAGCACGAAAGCGUGGGUAUCGAACAGGAUUAGAUACCCGAGUAGUC
rnacentral:rRNA from 1 species